rnacentral:rRNA from 1 species
AAGCGCUUGCAAUCAGACUUGCAUGCAGUUGAUCAUCCGAUGUUCUCACCGGUGCACUCAAUUGCGUUCAGGCCAGCAUUGGUUUUGGUGGUUGGAUAAAGGCCUAGGGAAUGUAGCUUCCUUCGGGGAGUGUUAUAGCCCACCGUGUAAUACCCUGGGGGGGACUGAGGUUCGCGCAUCUGCAAGGAUGCUGGCGUAAUGGUCAUCAACGA